GGUUAAGCGAACAAGUGCAUGUGGUGGAUGCCUUGGCGAUCACAGGCGAUGAAGGACGCGGUAGCCUGCGAAAAGCGACGGGGAGCUGGCAAACGAGCUUUGAUCCGUCGAUGUCCGAAUGGGGAAACCCGGCCCUUCUGGGUCAUCCUGAGCUGAAUACAUAGGCUCAGUGAAGCGAACGCGGUGAACUGAAACAUCUAAGUAACCGCAGGAAAAGAAAUCAACCGAGAUUCCCAAAGUAGUGGCGAGCGAAAUGGGAUCAGCCUGUACUCUUUAGCACGACCGUUAGCCGAACACUCUGGAAAGUGUGGCCAUAGCAGGUGAUAGCCUUGUAGGCGGAAGCGGAUGUGUGGAACUAGGUGUACGACAAGUAGGGCGGGACACGUGAAAUCCUGUCUGAAGAUGGGGGGACCAUCCUCCAAGGCUAAAUACUCGUGAUCGACCGAUAGUGAACCAGUACCGUGAGGGAAAGGCGAAAAGAACCCCGGGAGGGGAGUGAAAUAGAUCCUGAAACCGCAUGCAUACAAACAGUCGGAGCCUUUGCGAAGGGGUGACGGCGUACCUUUUGUAUAAUGGGUCAGCGACUUACGUUCAGUAGCAAGCUUAACUGAUUAAGGCAGGCGUAGCGAAAGCGAGUCCGAAUAGGGCAUUCAGUUGCUGGGCGUAGACCCGAAACCAAGUGAUCUAUCCAUGGCCAGGUUGAAGGUGCGAUAACACGUACUGGAGGACCGAACUCACUAAUGUUGAAAAAUUAGGGGAUGAGCUGUGGAUAGGGGUGAAAGGCUAAACAAACUUGGAAAUAGCUGGUUCUCUCCGAAAACUAUUUAGGUAGUGCCUCGUGUAGUGUAUCACCUUCGGGGGUAGAGCACUGUCAUGGUUGUGGAGUCCGUUGCGGAUUACUACGCCAUAGCAAACUCCGAAUACCGAAGAGUGCAAUCACGGGAGACAGACAUUGGGUGCUAACGUCCGGUGUCAAGAGGGAAACAACCCAGACCGCCAGCUAAGGUCCCCAAAUAUUGCUAAGUGGGAAACGAAGUGGGAAGGCUAAAACAGUCAGGAGGUUGGCUUAGAAGCAGCCAUCCUCUAAAGAAAGCGUAAUAGCUCACUGAUCGAGUCGUCCUGCGCGGAAGAUGUAACGGGGCUAAGCAAUAUACCGAAGCUGCGGAUGCGAGAUUUAUCUCGCAUGGUAGGAGAGCGUUCCGUAAGCCUGUGAAGGCGCAUUGAAAAGUGUGCUGGAGGUAUCGGAAGUGCGAAUGCUGACAUGAGUAGCGAUAAAGGGGGUGAAAAGCCCCCUCGCCGUAAGCCCAAGGUUUCCUACGCAACGUUCAUCGGCGUAGGGUGAGUCGGCCCCUAAGGCGAGGCAGAAAUGCGUAGCUGAUGGGAAGCAGGUUAAUAUUCCUGCACCAUUGUUAAAUGCGAUGGGGGGACGGAUCGCGGAAGGUUGUCCGGGUGUUGGAAGUCCCGGUCCUUGCAUUGGAGAAGGCGCUUAGGCAAAUCCGGGCGCGGAAUUCAAGGGUGUGAGGCGAGCCGCUUAGGUGGCGAAGCAAUUGGAAGUGGUUCCAAGAAAAGCCUCUAGCUUCAGUUUAACAAGACCGUACCGCAAACCGACACAGGUGGGCGAGAUGAGUAUUCUAAGGCGCUUGAGAGGACUCGGGAGAAGGAACUCGGCAAAUUGGUACCGUAACUUCGGGAUAAGGUACGCCCCUGUAGCUUGAUGCGCCUGCGCGCAAAGGGUGAAGGGGUUGCAAUAAACUGGUGGCUGCGACUGUUUAAUAAAAACACAGCACUCUGCAAACACGAAAGUGGACGUAUAGGGUGUGACGCCUGCCCGGUGCCGGAAGAUUAAAUGAUGGGGUGCAAGCUCUUGAUUGAAGUCCCGGUAAACGGCGGCCGUAACUAUAACGGUCCUAAGGUAGCGAAAUUCCUUGUCGGGUAAGUUCCGACCUGCACGAAUGGCGUAACGAUGGCCACACUGUCUCCUCCCGAGACUCAGCGAAGUUGAAGUGUUUGUGAUGAUGCAAUCUCCCCGCGGCUAGACGGAAAGACCCCAUGAACCUUUACUGUAGCUUUGCAUUGGACUUUGAACCGAUCUGUGUAGGAUAGGUGGGAGGCUAUGAAACCGGAACGCUAGUUUCGGUGGAGCCGUCCUUGAAAUACCACCCUGGUUUGUUUGAGGUUCUAACCUUGGUCCGUGAUUCGGAUCGGGGACAGUGCAUGGUAGGCAGUUUGACUGGGGCGGUCUCCUCCCAAAGUGUAACGGAGGAGUACGAAGGUACGCUAGGUACGGUCGGAAAUCGUGCUGAUAGUGCAAUGGCAUAAGCGUGCUUAACUGCGAGACCGACAAGUCGAGCAGGUGCGAAAGCAGGUCAUAGUGAUCCGGUGGUUCUGUAUGGAAGGGCCAUCGCUCAACGGAUAAAAGGUACUCUGGGGAUAACAGGCUGAUACCGCCCAAGAGUUCAUAUCGACGGCGGUGUUUGGCACCUCGAUGUCGGCUCAUCUCAUCCUGGGGCUGUAGCUGGUCCCAAGGGUAUGGCUGUUCGCCAUUUAAAGAGGUACGUGAGCUGGGUUUAAAACGUCGUGAGACAGUUUGGUCCCUAUCUGCCGUGGGCGUUGGAUAUUUGAAGGGGGCUGCUCCUAGUACGAGAGGACCGGAGUGGACGAACCUCUGGUGUACCGGUUGUCACGCCAGUGGCAUCGCCGGGUAGCUAUGUUCGGAAGAGAUAACCGCUGAAAGCAUCUAAGCGGGAAACUCGCCUUGAGAUGAGAUAUCCCUGGAGCUUCGAGCUUCUUGAAGGGUCGUUCUAGACCAGGACGUUGAUAGGUCAGGUGUGGAAGUGCAGUAAUGCAUUAAGCUAACUGAUACUAAUUGCCCGUAAGGCUUGAUCCUAU
rnacentral:rRNA from 1 species